rnacentral:rRNA from 2 species
AAAACUUUCAACAACGGAUCUCUUGGUUCUGGCAUCGAUGAAGAACGCAGCGAAAUGCGAUAAGUAAUGUGAAUUGCAGAAUUCAGUGAAUCAUCGAAUCUUUGAACGCACAUUGCGCCCCUUGGUAUUCCGGGGGGCAUGCCUGUUCGAGCGUCAUUUC